AUACCUGCCUGGCAGGGGAGAUGCCAUGAUCACAAAGGUGGUUUUCCCAGGGCAAGGCUUAUCCAUUGCACUUUGGAUAUGCUGACCCCCGAGAGUUCCCCAAAUGUGGGUAACUAGCUUGCAUAACUUGUGCUAGUGGGUGGCUGCAUUCGCACACUCUCCUG